GUCACCGUAUUUACCUACCUACGCGAUCAUCGUGUCGUAGUUCGUCAUCUAACUUGUGUAGCAUCUGACGUCAUUCGAAAACUCAAACAACGUCAGAAACAUCAUAUCAAUAUAUGCAUUAUAAUAUAAGACAUUAGAUAAGGCUUUACGAUGAUUAAACGCCAUUAAAAUUAAUGAUGAAAUAUCAUACAGCACACAUUACUUAUAAUGAGAUGUUAUUCGUAUGAUAAUAGUUUUUCGAAUAUUCUACUUGUAUACCUUUUAUAGUUAUAUCUUUUUAUUACAUUUCAUCAAUAUUUCAACUUCUUCUUCCUUUACUGAUCAAAAUAUGUAUACAUAUAUAAUAUAAGGAAUUAUGGCAUGAUUCGUAUCUGUAACGUGAUUCGUAUCUGUGAUUGUAACGUGAUUGUAACGGUAUAUAUGAUUUUAAAUUACUUACAAUGAUUUAUAUACACAAUGUUUUAGUUCGAUUAACAAACUGAAUAAAUGAUCGAUUGCUACAUGAUAAUAAAAAUAAAAUAAUGUUAUAUGAUAUUAUCAUUAUUAUAAAUAAUAGUAAGAUAUUGUGAAAAUAACAGUAAAAAUAUAAAAGUUGAUUAUAUAAGAUUCAAUAAGAUCAUAGAAAUUCACAAUCAAAUGUGAAAUGAUCAGAUAAUUUUGGAGAUGAUGACUGAAGCUUGUAAUUAACUAUGCGCAUCAUUUUAAUUUAUGUAGUUAGAGACAAAAGAAAAAAUAUUUAGCCAGCUACUUUACUAACAGAGUGAAAAUUUGGAUAUUCAUGGUUUUGGCAUAAAAGGGAUAAAUCUGAAAGACGACAGAUCGAUUAGAAAACGUUUGCAAUUUAUUUUUAAUAUCGUAUUUAUCGAAAUUAAUGCAUAAAAGCAGUGUAUACUGUAUAAGAAAUUUAGCAUUAUACAUCAAGAAUGCGACAUCUUAAUAAACAAUCUCUUGUUCUCUUUACGUGCAUGUUUGAUGCAAAAUUGUUGAAUAAUCCUAAAUGUCGAAAUAAAAGUUUAAUAAACGUUUAAUUAAUUAAUUAAUAAAAGUUUAAUAAAAUUUAAUUUUUUAAAAUUGUAAGCAAUCAAAAAGUACAUUUAUAGUUAAUAUGGUAGAAGAUUCUAUUAAAAAUCUAUGAACGACUUCAAGCUAUCGUGUGAUUAAAAAUUCUUGAGAAAUAGAAAUGAAAGAAACGAAGAAAGAGUAAUGAAAGAACGAUAUACGUAAGGGACGAUUUGUGAAUGGGUCGAGAAGUAAAAUUGCGUAUACUUACCGGAUUUGUUAUUGGUCCGAUUGUGUUCGACUGUUCGGCUAUCCGGCUGCUGGUGUUGUACAUACAUACAUGUAUAUAGCAUAUAGCACUGUUAGCUCGGUUAACCUGGCCCAGAAACUAAGCCGGAACUACUGGAGGAAUCAAUGACCUUGGCACGAGUAACGCCAGGAUAUGCGAGGAAGAAAGUUCAAUUCGCAUUUGCUGUGCUAUGGAGCGGAAUCAAAAAUUUCACGCGUGCAAGUGAUUAAAUUUUUAUGUGGAAUAAAGAUGAUACAAUAUGAAAGUAGAAAUUUUGAGUUAUAAUAGAAUUUUAAAUAUGUGUCCAAAAAUAAUAGAAAAUUAAGUUUUAAUUAAUUUGCCUCAAUUUUCUAUGUUGUUUUGUUAAUUGGAUUCCUUAAAAUAAAAUAAUU